rnacentral:rRNA from 1 species
GACAGAGGGUGCAAACGUUGUUCGGAAUUACUGGGCGUAAAGCGCGUGUAGGCGGCUAAGUAAGUCGGGCGUGAAAUCCCACGGCUCAACCGUGGAAGUGCACUCGAAACUGCAUAGCUAGAGUCCUGGAGAGGAAGGUGGAAUGCUUGGUGUAGAGGUGAAAUUCGUAGAUAUCAAGCGGAACACCGGUGGCGAAGGCGGCCUUCUGGACAGUGACUGACGCUGAGACGCGAAAGCGUGGGGAGC